rnacentral:rRNA from 1 species
UACGAGAGGCCCAAACGUUAUUCGGAAUUACUGGGCUUAAAGAGUUCGUAGGCGGCGCAGAAAGUAGGGUGUGAAAGCCCUCGGCUUAACCGAGGAAUUGCGCUCUAAACUACUGUGCUUGAGGACCUAGAGGUGAGCAGAACUGAAUGGUGGAGCGGUGGAAAUGCGUUGAUAUCAUCAGGAAUACCGGAGGCGAAGGCGGCUCACUGGGG